rnacentral:rRNA from 1 species
AUGCAUAUUGAGAAGAACGUAUGUGAAAACAUAUAUGGAACACUUCUAGGAAUAGAAGGCAAGUCCAAAGAUAAUUUAAAGGCACGACAAGACCUACAGCACAUGAACAUUAAACGAGAGCUGCAUCCACAAAAAAACCUAAUGAUAAGUAUUAUCUGCCACCUGCUUCCUAUAACCUAUCUAAAGAAGGGAAGCAACAAUUUUGCAAAGUCCUUCAUGGUGCAAGGGGUCCGAAUGGGUUUUCAGGAAACAUCUCAAGAUGUGCAAAUGUUGUUCAAGGGAGAAUCUCAGGCCUUAAAAGUCAUGAUUGUCAUAUACUAA